CCUACGGGAGGCAGCAGUGGGGAAUAUUGGGCAAUGGUCGCAAGCCUGACCCAGCAACGCCGCGUGAAGGAAGAAGGCAUUCGGGUUGUAAACUUCUUUUCUCAGGGACGAAGCAAGUGACGGUACCCGAGGAAUAAGCCACGGCUAACUACGUGCCAGCAGCCGCUGUAAUACGUAGGGGGCAAGCGUUAUCCGGAUUUACGGGGUGUAAAGGGCGGGUAGGCGGGGACGCAAGUCAGAUGUGAAAACCACGGGCUCAACCUGCGGCCUGCAUUUGAAACUGAGUUUCUUGAGUACUGGAGAGGCAGACGGAAUGCCUAGUGUAGCGGUGAAAUGCGUAGAUAUUAGGAGGAACACCAGUGGCGAAGGCGGUCUGCUGGACAGCAACUGACGCUGAGGCGCGAAAGCGUGGGUAGCGAACAGGAUUAGAUACCCGGGUAGUC
rnacentral:rRNA from 1 species